AAAGAUCGAAAGGGGAGAUUCAUCGUCGACGAGGCUGGCUUCCGUUGGUGCGCAGAUACCCCGCAGUGGGCUAGUAUUAUUAUUGGUUACAAUGCGAGGGUACACCAUCUUCGGCAAAUGUUCCGGUCACGUAGUCGUGCACUUCUCCCUUAGUAGGACGUCGCGACCCGUUGCGUGUCGGUCUACGGUCCGGGUUGUUGCCUGUCGUGUCGCUACGCGCGCACACGACAGACGCUCGAUCGCCUGGCCGGCUGCGUGACGGUACUCUGACGGUAUCGGGCCGCAACCAAUCCAUUUUCGAAUGUAUGUGCGUCAGGCCCUCCGCAAGCUCGGUUAGUUUUGAUCCCGGAGGUACGGACCUGGUGCCGGCUCCGGACCUAACCAGCUGUUAGCAGGAGGUGUCCUUGGACUGGCCAAGCUUUGAAUUACCGGUCAGCGACGCUACUGCUUUGGGUACUCUCAGGACCCGUCUUGAAACACGGACCAAGGAGUCUAACAUGUGCGCGAGUCAUUGGGACAUGUAAACCUAAAGGCGCAAUGAAAGUGAAAGUCGUAUCUUAGCAUCGACCGAGGGAGGAUGGGCCGCGUCACGAUGCGGCCUCGCACUCCCGGGGCGUCUCGUUCUCAUUGCGAGGAGAG
rnacentral:rRNA from 1 species